UGGGGAAUUUUGCACAAUGGGGGAAACCCUGAUGCAGCGACGCCGCGUGAUUUAGAAGGCCUUCGGGUUGUAAAAAUCUUUUCUAUGGGAAGAAAAUGACAGUUCCAUAGGAAUAAGGACCGGCUAAUUACGUGCCAGCAGCCGCGGUAAUACGUAAGGUCCGAGCGUUGUCCGGAAUCAUUGGGCGUAAAGGGUACGUAGGCGGGUAAGCAAGUUAGAAGUGAAAUCCUAUAGCUCAACUAUAGUAAGCUUUUAAAACUGCUCAUCUUGAGGUAUGGAAGGGAAAGUGGAAUUCCUAGUGUAGCGGUGAAAUGCGCAGAUAUUAGGAGGAAUACCGGUGGCGAAGGCGACUUUCUGGCCAUAACCUGACGCUGAGGUACGAAAGCGUGGGUAGCAAACAGG
rnacentral:rRNA from 2 species